CUCCCGCAGCUCGCUCCGCCCCUCCCCGCCGCGCGGCCUGGCCACGGCCCGCCUACAGCGCAGCCGCCACCCACGGGUCUCGGAGAGCUGACGUCGCGGCUGCUGCAGCGGCCCCGGGGAAGGGCGGGAUCUAGGUGGAGUGGGCGGGGACAGGGCGACGUGCGGAUGCAGGGAUUGGCCGCCGGGAGUUCGCCCCGCCCUCCUGCGAAGGGGGCUGGGAAGUCCUGGCUUCCCCGAGAACUUGGAGAAGAGUCUCCUUUUCGCCUGUGCUACCUGAGAAUUUCCUGGAGCCACCCCUUGCCAUAGAAGAGGAUCUGGAGCUGUAGAGAAAAAUAUCACGAUUGAAGACCUCAGUG
rnacentral:lncRNA from 1 species